AAAUUUCUCCUCUUAGCGGACGGGCCGUUCGUUUUGGACUUCAUAUUUUGGGAUCUUUUUCGUUCCUUUCAUGAUUUCUCUCUCUCUAAGAUUUAGAGAGGAAGAGAAUUUCUCUGAAGUUUGUUCCUCUAAAAUGUUGAACCCACUCACGCCUCUCCCUCGCAAACCAACAACUCCCGUCACUCAUGGCUUUGCUGGCCUUCCAUCAAUCUAAAGCCCAUCUCUGCUCCAUCCAUGCCCCAUUAUCACACUCCCACAUGCUAUCUGGCAUCUGCAUAGAAUUGCACCAGUGAUCCAUUCCUUAACUCAAGAUUAACUACACAUGGGAAGCUAUUUGGAUUGGGCUGAAAGGAACGAAAACUGUUUCGUCUAAGGUCAGGCGCAUAUGAAGUUUGUGGAUUGUGUUGGGCUGAUAUUUUUACUGGUUCCAUUUCCAUAUUCGUUUAUUCAUUUGCCAUUUCAUGUAAAAUUAUUUUAUGAAACAUUGAUAUAUUGUAUAAUUUUCCCCAAGGUUAGGCGCAUAUGAAGUUU
rnacentral:lncRNA from 1 species